rnacentral:rRNA from 1 species
GGACUACUGGGGUAUCUAAUCCUGUUUGAUCCCCUUGCUCUCGCGCCUCAGCGUCAGGUGAAAGCUAGAAAAUCGCUUUCGCCACAGGUGUUCCUCCACAUAUCUACGCAUUUCACCGCUACACGUGGAAUUCCAUUUUCUCCGCCAUCCCUCUAGAUCUAUAGUUUCAAAUGCAGCUCCGAAAUUGAGCUCCGGAAUUUCACAUCUGACUUAUAAACCCGCCUACGCGCCCUUUACGCCCAAUAAUUCCGAUUAAUGCUUGCACCCUCCGUAUUACCGCGGCUGCUGGCAC